rnacentral:rRNA from 1 species
UACGAAGGGGGCUAGCGUUGCUCGGAAUCACUGGGCGUAAAGCGCACGUAGGCGGAUCGUUAAGUCAGAGGUGAAAUCCUGGAGCUCAACUCCAGAACUGCCUUUGAUACUGGCGAUCUUGAGUUCGGGAGAGGUGAGUGGAACUGCGAGUGUAGAGGUGAAAUUCGUAGAUAUUCGCAAGAACACCAGUGGCGAAGGCGGCUCACUGGCCCGAUACUGACGCUGAGGCACGAAAGCGUGGGGAGCAAACAGG